UACGUAGGGGGCAAGCGUUGUCCGGAUUUAUUGGGCGUAAAGAGCGUGUAGGCGGUUCGGUAGGUCCGUUGUGAAAACUCGAGGCUCAACCUCGAGACGCCGAUGGAAACCAUCGAACUAGAGUCCGGAAGAGGAGAGUGGAAUUCCUGGUGUAGCGGUGAAAUGCGCAGAUAUCAGGAAGAACACCCGUGGCGAAGGCGGCUCUCUGGUACGUGACUGACGCUGAGACGCGAAAGCGUGGGGAGCGAACAGG
rnacentral:rRNA from 1 species